rnacentral:misc_RNA from 1 species
GCAGAAGGAUCAUUAGUGAAGAUUUGGGCAGGCCAUACGGACGCCAAAAAAGUGUCCCUGGCCGCCUACACCCACUAUACAUCCACAAACCCGUGUGCACUGUCUUGGAGAAAGGCUUCUUGAGAAGUUAUGUGACCUCUCUUGGAGGUCUUUCUUCGCUACAAACUCGAAUGGUUAGUAUGAACGUGGAACUUGGUUGGACCGUCACUGGCCAACAAACUAUACACAACCUUCGACAACGGAUCUCUUGGUUCUCCCA